rnacentral:rRNA from 1 species
AUGGUAAAACGAGGGCUUAGCUGUCUUCUUUUUUAUGUCAAUGAAAUUGAUUUUCUCGUGCAAAAGCGAGGAUAACCUCAUAAGACGAGAAGACCCUGUGAAGCUUUAGAUAAUAUACAGAUUUGGUCAAGGACCCCCUGAUAAGGGAUUUAGUUGCUGACUUCUGUUUUAUUGUCUUCGGUUGGGGCGACCACGGGGAGUCAUACAACCCCCGCGUGGAGUGGGUACAAGAGUAUUUUUGUCCUUAGAAUUAAGAGCUUCUGCUCUAAAAAACAGAAUUUCUGACCUUGUAAGAUCCGGCAGUGCCGAUUAACGGACCAAGUUACUCCAGGGAUAACAGCGCCAUCCUCUUUCAGAGUUCUUAUCGACAAGGGGGUUUACGACCUCGAUGUUGGAUCAGGACAUCCUAAUGGUGCAGUCGCUAUUAAGGGUUCGUUUGUUCAACGAUUAAUAGUCCUACGUGAUCU